CGAACGGCAGCACAGUAAGAGCUUGCUCUUAUGGGUGGCGAGUGGCGGACGGGUGAGGAAUACAUCGGAAUCUACCUUUUCGUGGGGGAUAACGUAGGGAAACUUACGCUAAUACCGCAUACGACCUUCGGGUGAAAGCAGGGGACCUUCGGGCCUUGCGCGGAUAGAUGAGCCGAUGUCGGAUUAGCUAGUUGGCGGGGUAAAGGCCCACCAAGGCGACGAUCCGUAGCUGGUCUGAGAGGAUGAUCAGCCACACUGGAACUGAGACACGGUCCAGACUCCUACGGGAGGCAGCAGUGGGGAAUAUUGGACAAUGGGCGCAAGCCUGAUCCAGCCAUACCGCGUGGGUGAAGAAGGCCUUCGGGUUGUAAAGCCCUUUUGUUGGGAAAGAAAAGCAGUCGGCUAAUACCCGGUUGUUCUGACGGUACCCAAAGAAUAAGCACCGGCUAACUUCGUGCCAGCAGCCGCGGUAAUACGAAGGGUGCAAGCGUUACUCGGAAUUACUGGGCGUAAAGCGUGCGUAGGUGGUUGUUUAAGUCUGUUGUGAAAGCCCUGGGCUCAACCUGGGAAUUGCAGUGGAUACUGGGCGACUAGAGUGUGGUAGAGGGUAGUGGAAUUCCCGGUGUAGCAGUGAAAUGCGUAGA
rnacentral:rRNA from 1 species